rnacentral:rRNA from 1 species
GACGAACGCUGGCGGCGUGCUUAACACAUGCAAGUCGAACGGAAAGGCCCUGCUUUUGUGGGGUGCUCGAGUGGCGAACGGGUGAGUAACACGUGAGUAACCUGCCCUUGACUUUGGGAUAACUUCAGGAAACUGGGGCUAAUACCGGAUAGGAGCUCCUGCUGCAUGGUGGGGUUGGAAAGUUUCGGCGGUUGGGGAUGGACUCGCGGCUUAUCGGCUUGUUGGUGGGGUAGUGGCUUACCAAGGCUUUGACGGGUAGCCGGCCUGAGAGGGUGACCGGCCACUUUGGACCUAGCUUACGCCCCAGUCUCUACGGGAGGCAGCAGUGGGGAAUAUUGCACAAUGGGCGGAAGCCUGAUGCAGCAACGCCGCGUGCGGGAUGACGGCCUUCGGGUUGUAAACCGCUUUCGCCUGUGACGAAGCGUGAGUGACGGUAAUGGGUAAAGAAGCACCGGCUAACUACGUG